AGUGAACGCUGGCGGUAGGCCUAACACAUGCAAGUCGAACGGCAGCACAGUAAGAGCUUGCUCUUACGGGUGGCGAGUGGCGGACGGGUGAGGAAUACAUCGGAAUCUACUUUUUCGUGGGGGAUAACGUAGGGAAACUUACGCUAAUACCGCAUACGACCUACGGGUGAAAGCAGGGGAUCUUCGGACCUUGCGCGAUUGAAUGAGCCGAUGUCGGAUUAGCUAGUUGGCGGGGUAAAGGCCCACCAAGGCGACGAUCCGUAGCUGGUCUGAGAGGAUGAUCAGCCACACUGGAACCGAGACACGGUCCAGACUCCUACGGGAGGCAGCAGUGGGGAAUAUUUGACAAUGGGCGCAAGCCUGAUCCAGCCAUACCGCGUGGGUGAAGAAGGCCUUCGGGUUGUAAAGCCCUUUUGUUGGGAAAGAAAAGCAGCAGGUUAAUACCCCGCUGUUCUGACGGUACCCAAAGAAUAAGCACCGGCUAACUUCGUG
rnacentral:rRNA from 1 species